GAUGAAGAACGUAGCGAAAUGCGAUACGUAAUGUGAAUUGCAGAAUUCAGUGAAUCAUCGAAUCUUUGAACGCAUGUUGCGCUCUCUGGUAUUCCGGAGAGCAUGCUUGUUUGAGUAUCAGUAAACACCUCAACUUCCAUAUCUUUUUUUGAAAUGGGAGUUGGACUUGAGUGAUCCCAACGCUUUUCCUCACCGAAAAGUGGCGGGUUACUUGAAAUGCAGGUGCAGCUGGACUUUUCUCUGAGCUAUAAGCAUAUCUAUUUAGUCUGCCUAAAAAACAGAUUAUUACCUUUGCUGCAGCUAACAUAAAGGAGAUUAGUUCUUGUGCUGACUGAUGCAGGAUUCACAAAGACAGCUUCGGCCGACUUUGUAAACUCGAUCUCAAAUCAAGUAAGACUACCCGCUGAACUUAAGCAUAUCAAUAAGCGGAGGA
rnacentral:misc_RNA from 1 species